rnacentral:rRNA from 1 species
ACGCCUGCCCAGUGAACAAUUAAACGGCCGCGGUACCCUAACCGUGCAAAGGUAGCAUAAUCAUUUGUCUACUAAUUAUAGACCUGUAUGAAAGGCAAAAUGAGGGCCUAACUGUCUCUUAUAGUCAAUCUAUUAAACUGAUCCCCUAGUAAAAAAGCUAGGAUAACAACAUAAGACCAGAAGACCCUGUGAAGCUUAAACUAAACUAUUAAACCACAUAAUAACUACUUUCGGUUGGGGCGACCUUGGAAAAAAAAAGAACUUCCAAAUAUAUGACCUUCAUCAUACUAAAGGCACACAAGCCAACAAACGACCCAGCACAGCUGACCAAUGAACCAAGUUACUCCAGGGAUAACAGCGCAAUCCUCUUCAAGAGCCCAUAUCAAAAAGAGGGUUUACGACCUCGAUGUUGGAUCAGGACAUCCUAAUGGUGCAGUCGCUAUUAAGGGUUCGUUUGUUCAACGAUUAACAGUCCUACGUGAU